CACGGGGGGAGCAAGCGUUUGUUCGGAUUCAUUGGGCGUAAAGGGCUCGUAGGUGGCUUUGUAAGUCGGAGGUGAAAUCCCACGGCUCAACCGUGGACACGCCUUCGAAACUGUGAAGCUUGAGGCUGGGAGAGGAGAUCGGAAUUCCUGGUGUAGCGGUGAAAUGCGUAGAUAUCGAGAGGAACACCGGUGGCGAAAGGCGGCCAACUGGACGAAUACUGACGCUGAGACUCGAAAGCGUGGGGAGCAAACAGG
rnacentral:rRNA from 1 species